rnacentral:rRNA from 1 species
GCUUAGCCCUAACCCUAGAUAAUUAACCAAACAAAAUUAUCCGCCAGAGAACUACUAGCAACAGCUUAAAACUCAAAGGACUUGGCGGUGCUUCACACCCCCC